rnacentral:rRNA from 1 species
UACGUAGGGUGCAAGCGUUAUCCGGAUUUAUUGGGCGUAAAGGGCUCGUAGGCGGUUCGUCGCGUCCGGUGUGAAAGUCCAUCGCUUAACAGUGGAUCCGCGCCGGGUACGGGCGGGCUUGAGUGCGGUAGGGGAGACUGGAAUUCCCGGUGUAACGGUGGAAUGUGUAGAUAUCGGGAAGAACACCAAUGGCGAAGGCAGGUCUCUGGGCCGUUACUGACGCUGAGGAGCGAAAGCGUGGGGAGCGAACAGG